UACGAAGGGGGCUAGCGUUGCUCGGAAUUACUGGGCGUAAAGCGCACGUAGGCGGCUUUCUAAGUCAGGGGUGAAAUCCUGGAGCUCAACUCCAGAACUGCCUUUGAUACUGGAGAGCUUGAGUCCGGAAGAGGUGAGUGGAACUCCGAGUGUAGAGGUGAAAUUCGUAGAUAUUCGGAAGAACACCAGUGGCGAAGGCGGCUCACUGGUCCGGUACUGACGCUGAUGUGCGAAAGCGUGGGGAGCAAACAGG
rnacentral:rRNA from 1 species